UGAUAGCGAAGAAGCGUGAGGUUGCUGCCGAGUAGUAGGGCCAUACGAAAUGGCAGGUUUUCCGUGGAGCGAAUGUCAAGUUAGGAAACUGGCGACAA
rnacentral:ncRNA from 1 species